rnacentral:rRNA from 1 species
GACGAACGCUGGCGGCGUGCCUAAUACAUGCAAGUUGAACGCAACAAAGACACCAGAGCUUGCUCUACCGUCUUUGUUGAGUAGCGAACGGGUGAGUAACGCGUGGGUAACCUGCCUUAUAGCGGGGGAUAACUAUUGGAAACGAUAGCUAAUACCGCAUAACAAUAGAGAUUGCAUAAUCUUUAUUUGAAAGUGCCAACUGGUACACUAUGAGAUGGACCCGCGUUGUAUUAGCUAGUUGGUAGUGUAAUGGACUACCAAGGCGAUGAUACAUAGCCGACCUGAGAGGGUGAUCGGCCACAUUGGGACUGAGACA